rnacentral:misc_RNA from 1 species
GUGAGUCAUCGAAUCUUUGAACGCACAUUGCGCCCGCCAGUAUUCUGGCGGGCAUGCCUGUUCGAGCGUCAUUAACACCACUCAAGCCCCCGGGCUUGGCGUUGGGGAUCGGCAUCCGGCGCGCGCUCCUCCUCCGGGAGGGGCCCGCCCGCCGUCCCCCAAACCGAUUGGCGGUCGCGCCUGUGGGCUCCCUUGCGUAGUAGCAACACCUCGCACCGGACGCCCCUCGCGGCCACGCCGUAAAACCCCCGACUUUUUUCAAGUUGACCUCGAAUCAGGUAGGACUACCCGCUGAACUUAAGCAUAUCAAUAAGCGGAGGA